GCGCCCAUCGUCUAGCGGUCCAGGACGUCGCCCUUUCACGGCGAAAACAGGGGUUCGAUUCCCCUUGGGCGCG
rfam:Afipia sp. P52-10 contig000007, whole genome shotgun sequence.